AUGUGGUGCGUGUGCGUGUGUGUGUCUGUGUGUGUGUGUGUGUGUGUGUGUGAGAGAGAGAGAGAGAGAGAGAGAGAGAGAGAGAAAGAGAGAGAGACAACCCUGGUAGGCAGGCGAAAGCACCCCUCACCUCCCCCAGCCCCGAAGCCUUUCUCGAUCUCCCGGCGAAAGGCUGUGGCGGACGGGGUGGGGCGGGGGAGGCGGGGACGGGGGAGGGAAAGAGGGAGGACGGGGCAGGCGGCGCGGGCAGCAUCUCCUGCCUUCUCUGCAGCUCAGAGGCCAGGGGUGGAAGGAAGCCGCAGCCGCAGCCCCAAGUCAACCCCUGCUGCCCCGUCCCACCAUCUCAUCUCUCCCCCCUCGGAAGUUGUAGGAUUUUUACCAGGAAUUCAGCAAAGGAAAACACAGGAGGAAGCGUGGAAGAUCUGUUCAAAUCAACUGACUAAGCUCCUGCCUUACAAAGUAAGUUUCCAGUGAGCCAGGCAAGACUGCAUAAGUGUUAUUUGCUUUGGAUAAUUCCUAGCCCAAUACCACACAUAUAUAUAGCAACAUGUCACUUGAAAAACUAAUGCAGCAACCAAGAAUUAGCACAUUCAAAUUUUACACAUUCAUAAAUUAUGAUGCUAUUGCCAAGACUAAUUAUUUAUUUAAAUAAAAUUUUUGCCUGAAUUGGGAUCAUGAAUGACUGUAAUUGAAAAAUAAUUUUCAUUUUUCAAGAGAACAUUUAAACUCUUAUAUCACAAUGGGAUCCCUAUAAUCAAGGAUAAGGCCUUACAUUAAUUAAUGAUUAAUCUUAAUAAAAGACAUGUAAAUGGAGCUACACUUCAUGUAUUAGCUAUGGACUUUGCUGUUCUCACCAAUAAUAGCAAUGCAAAUGGGGCCAGCUCUGAGCAAAUUUACAAAGUAUAGUUCAGUCAUAGGAUAUUGCAGGAUAUUGUACCAUUGAGAAGCACCUUACCUGAGGUUAGAGGAUAGUGACAGAGAAGGCUCCAAUUGUGUCUUGCUGGUCUGUGACUGACUCUGUGGGACCUCAGGAAGAGUAGGUUUAGUCUUUACACUGCUUGCCCCCUUCACAGCUUAUUAAAAACUAUCCUUCAUGGAAUGGUAUAAUCUGUCCUAAUCGCUAUACUAGUGUGUUUCCUCUCCAAGGAGUAGGUCUUCAGCCUUUUUUUCCAGUUGUGGGGAAAAAGGCUCUAUCUCUUUAAUAAAAAGAUUUCAAGCAUGAAGGAACAUGUAUGUCUUUGGGAUGAAGACUUCCUGAAGCGCCUAAAAAUUACCCCAACUGCAGAUCAUGUUUUGUAAAAUCUGUGAAGGCUGGGAGUAGGGCCAUGAAAAUUUGUUUUCCCCACCAUUUCAAGAAUGGGCAAUUUUUGAUAUCAGAGAGGGCUUGGUGUAAAAAUUAAAUUUUAAUUUCAGCAUUUUUCUCUGGAAAAUUUGUCAUUGUGAAGGAGUAGUUGGUGAGCCAUGCUUUAUUCUGAUCAAAGACAUAAGUCCUUAUGGACAGAGUAAUGAGAGGCUAGCUAUGGGAGGUUAAAGGGUGUAGGCUUUGGAGUCAGACAGACCUGGGUUUGAUUUCCGGAUUCAUAUUUAUUAUCUAAGGAAAUUAGGUUGCAUGGACUUUGGUUUGUUUAUCUGUAAGCUGGGGACAAUGACUCACAGCAUCAUUUAGUGGAUUUAAUUGGAUAAUACAUAAGCUUAGCACAGAGCCUAAUAUAUAGCAGUAGCUCACUAACUGCUAAUUUCCUUUCUUCUCCUUUUCUGCCUUUUUGUAUUGAAGUGACUCAUAACACAAAAUUAAUCAUCUUAAAGUAUAUAAUUUAGUAGCAUUUAGUAUAUUCACAAUGUUGUGCAACCUUCACCUCUAUCUAGUUCCAAAACAUUUUUUUUUUUGUCUUUUUGUUUGUUUGUUUGUUUUGUGGAAAACGGCGCCUCGCUAUGUUGCCCAAGCAGGUCUCGAACUCCGGGGCUCAAGCUGUCUUCCUACCUUUGCCUCCCUAAGAGCUGAGAUUACAGGUGUGAGCCACCAUGCCUGACUCCUAAACAUUUUCAUCAUACCAAAAGAAGAUCCUGUAUCCCUGAAUCAGUCACUCACCCAUUUUCCCCUCCUCCAGCCAUGGACAACUAAUUUGGUUUGUGUUUCUAUAGAUUGAGCUAUUCUGGAUAUCUCAUAAAAAUGGAGUCAUUGACCUAGCGUGGUGGCUCAUGCCUAUAAUCCCAACACUUUGGGAGGCUGAGGCUGAGGUGGGUGGAUCACCUGAGGUCAGGAGUUCAAGACCAGUCUCACCAACAUGGUGACACCCUGUCUCUACCAAAAAUGCAAAAGUUAGCUGGGCAUGGUGGCAGGCACCUGUAAUCCCCGCUCCUCGGGAUGCUGAGGCAGGAGAAGGCUUGAACCCAGGAGGCGGAGAUUGCAGUGAGUCAAGAUCAUGCCAUUGCAAUCCAGCCUCAGGGACAAGAGCAAGACUUUGUCUUUUUUUUUUUUAAGUCUGAGUUUUACUGUUGUUGCCCGGGCUGGCGUACAGUGGUGUGGUCUCGACUCACUGCAACCUCUGCUUCCCGGAUUCAAGUGAUUC
rnacentral:lncRNA from 1 species